UGGUAAUUCUAGAGCUAAUACAUGCUAAAAACCCCGACUUCGGAAGGGGUGUAUUUAUUAGAUAAAAAACCAAUGCCCUUCGGGGCUCUCUGGUGAAUCAUAAUAACUUAACGAAUCGCAUGGCCUUGCGCCGGCGAUGGUUCAUUCAAAUUUCUGCCCUAUCAACUUUCGAUUGUAGGAUAGAGGCCUACAAUGGUAUCAACGGGUAACGGGGAAUUAGGGUUCGAUUCCGGAGAGGGAGCCUGAGAAACGGCUACCACAUCCAAGGAAGGCAGCAGGCGCGCAAAUUACCCAAUCCCGACACGGGGAGGUAGUGACAAUAAAUACUGAUACAGGGCUCUUUUGGGUCUUGUAAUUGGAAUGAGUACAAUCUAAAUCCCUUAACGAGGAACAAUUGGAGGGCAAGUCUGGUGCCAGCAGCCGCGGUAAUUCCAGCUCCAAUAGCGUAUAUUAAAGUUGUUGCAGUUAAAAAGCUCGUAGUUGAACCUUGGGCCUGGCUGGCCGGUCCGCCUCACCGCGUGCACUGGUUCGGCCGGGCCUUUCCUUCUGGGGAGCCGCAUGCCCUUUACUGGGCGUGUCGGGGAACCAGGACUUUUACUUUGAAAAAAUUAGAGUGUUCAAAGCAGGCCUUCGCUCGAAUACAUUAGCAUGGAAUAAUAGAAU
rnacentral:rRNA from 1 species